rnacentral:rRNA from 1 species
UACGUAGGGUGCGAGCGUUAAUCGGAAUUACUGGGCGUAAAGUGUGCGCAGGCGGCCGCGCAAGUCGAGUGUGAAAGCCCCGAGCUUAACUUGGGAAUUGCGCUCGAAACUACGUGGCUGGAGUGUGGCAGAGGAAGGUGGAAUUCCAGGUGUAGCGGUGAAAUGCGUAGAGAUCUGGAGGAACACCGAUGGCGAGGGCAGCCUUCUGGGCCAACACUGACGCUCAUGGCACGAAAGCGUGGGGAGCAAACAGG